rnacentral:piRNA from 1 species
UGAAGAUUAGUCCUGAUGUUCAAGCUACCUU